CGGUGACUGACUGUUCAUCUUAUGCUAAAGGGCCCAGCUCCCUGACUUAUCCUUCCAUGUCCGCCUCAGCUGUUUCGCUUAUUCAAUCCAAGGCGCUUCAUCUGAGCUCGGGUGAUGUCUACCGGCAAUGAGACCCCCGCCCUCUUACCCGACGUCUGUCUACGCUCCAUCUCCGACGUCCUGUCUGUCCUGCUUCCGAGCAUAGAAAUCGUCUGAGCCAUCUCAUGCAUAGCCACGUUUCGGACGUCUCCGAGUUCAUGACUUGAGCUGGUGACAUGUGUUCGGAUGAUGAAGGAAAGGGCUGGCAACGCAGGGUUAAAGGCCUGCCAGUUGCAUUAACAAGCACAUACAUACGGCCGAACGCCUAUAGCAGACUUCCAGCCCUGCGUUGCCGGAC